rnacentral:rRNA from 1 species
CCGACGGGUGAGUAAACCACGUAUACCCAACCUGCCGUCACUCUUGGACAGCCUUCUGAAAGGAAGAUUAAUACAAGAUGGCAUCAUGAGUCCGCAUGUUCACAUGAUUAAAGGUAUUCCGGUAGACGAUGGGGAUGCGUUCCAUUAGAUAGUAGGCGGGGUAACGGCCCACCUAGUCUUCGAUGGAUAGGGGUUCUGAGAGGAAGGUCCCCCACAUUGGAACUGAGACACGGUCCAA